ACGAAGGUCCCGAGCGUUGUUCGGAAUCACUGGGCGUAAAGGGAGCGUAGGCGGCGUGGCAAGUCAGAUGUGAAAUCCCGGGGCUCAACCCCGGAACUGCAUCCGAUACUGCCGUGCUUUGAGGGUUGGAGAGGUAGCUGGAAUUCACGGUGUAGCAGUGAAAUGCGUGGAUAUCGUGAGGAACACUCGUGGCGAAAGCGAGCUACUGGACAACACCUGACGCUGAGGCUCGAAGGCCGGGGGAGCGAAAGGGAUUAGAUACCCCUGUAGUCCCGGCAGUAAACGGUGUGCGCUUGGUGUGGCGGGAAUCGACCCCUGCCGUGCCGGAGCCAACGCGUUAAGCGCACCGCCUGGGAAGUACGGUCGCAAGACUA
rnacentral:rRNA from 1 species